UACGUAGGGGGCAAGCGUUGUCCGGAUUUAUUGGGCUUAAAGGGUGUGUAGGCGGUCUAUUAAGUCAGGGGUGAAAUAUCCCGGCUUAACCGGGAGGGUGGCAUUGAUACUGAUGGACUUGAGUGCAGUCGAGGUAGGCGGAAUUGACGGUGUAGCGGUGAAAUGCUUAGAUAUCGUCAAGAACACCGAUAGUGAAGACAGCUUACUAGACUGUAACUGACGCUGAGGCACGAAAGUGUGGGGAUCAAACAGG
rnacentral:rRNA from 1 species